rnacentral:rRNA from 1 species
GUAGUCCACGCCGUAAACGAUGGAUACUAGGUGUAGGGGGUAUCGACCCCCCCUGUGCCGGAGUUAACACAAUAAGUAUCCCACCUGGGGAGUACGGCCGCAAGGUUGAAACUCAAAGGAAUUGACGGGGGCCCGCACAAGCAGUGGAGUAUGUGGUUUAAUUCGAAGCAACGCGAAGAACCUUACCAGGGCUUGACAUGUAUAGAAUUUGUUAGAGAUGACAAAGUGCCGCAAGGAGCUAUAACACAGGUGGUGCAUGGUUGUCGUCAGCUCGUGUCGUGAGAUGUUGGGUUAAGUCCCGCAACGAGCGCAACCCUUAUUGUUAGUUGCCAUCAUUUAGUUGGGCACUCUAGCGAGACUGCCGGUGACAAAUCGGA